rnacentral:rRNA from 1 species
UCGGGAAUUUUGGGCAAUGGGCGAAAGCCUGACCCAGCAACGCCGCGUGAGGGAUGAAGUAUUUCGGUAUGUAAACCUCGAAAGAAUGGGAAGAAUAAAUGACGGUACCAUUUAUAAGCUCCGGCUAACUACGUGCCAGCAGCCGCGGUAAUACGUAAGGAGCAAGCGUUGUUCGGAUUUACUGGGCGUAAAGGGCGCGUAGGCGGCGCGGUAAGUCACUUGUGAAAUCUCUGAGCUUAACUCAGAACGGCCAAGUGAUACUGCUGUGCUAGAGUGCGGAAGAGGCAACCGGAAUUCUUGGUGUAGCGGUGAAAUGCGUAGAUAUCAAGAGGAACACCUGAGGCGAAGGCGGGUUGCUGAGCCGACACUGACGCUGAUGCGCGAAAGCCAGGGGAGCAAACG